rnacentral:tRNA from 1 species
UGCGGGAUGGAGCAGUGGUAGCUCGUCGGGCUCAUAACCCGAAGGUCACAGGUUCGAGUCCUGUUCCCGCUACCA